rnacentral:lncRNA from 1 species
GUUUGGGACAGUCCGCCAUUUUUACUUCUCACUCACAGUUGUCAGAUGCGAAUGAAUGAACUAAAAACUCACUCUAGCAGGUGAUGCCACCUUUUGGCUUUCCAGUGUACUACUUUUCAAGGCUGCCUACCUAAACUUUCAUCCCA